rnacentral:rRNA from 1 species
UACGAAGGGUGCAAACGUUGCUCGGAAUCAUUGGGCGUAAAGCGCACGUAGGCGGCUUUGCAAGUCGGGAUGUGAAAUCCCUCGGCUCAACCAAGGAAGUGCAUCCGAAACUGCAGAGCUUGAGUACUUAAGAGGAUCGCGGAAUUCCCGGUGUAGAGGUGAAAUUCGUAGAUAUCGGGAGGAACACCAGUGGCGAAGGCGGCGAUCUGGGAAGAUACGUGACGCUGAGGUGCGAAAGCGUGGGGAGCAACA